rnacentral:piRNA from 1 species
UCAAUACUGCUCCAUCGAGAA